rnacentral:lncRNA from 1 species
UUUUUUUUUUUUUUUUUUUUUUUUAGGGCUGCACCCCUGGCAUAUAGAAGUUCCCAGGCUAGGGGUCCAAUCAGAGCUACAGCUGCCGACCUACGCCACAGCCACAGCAAUGUGGGAUCUGAACCGCAUCUGUGACCUACACCACAGCUCACGGCAACACCAGAUCCUUAACUCACUGGGUGAGGCCAGGGAUCGAACCUGAAACCUCAUGGUUCUUAGUCGGAUUCGUUUCUGCUGAGCCAUGACAGGAACUACUUGAAUAUAUAAUGACAUUCUCUGAGGGAUGGAGAUGCUUAAACCAGGCUUUGGUUUGGACUUGUUUCCAUAAUCACAUUGCUUCCUCUGUGAAAUCUUGACCAACAUACUGCUUUUCUUCUUAUUAAAUUAAUCAUGAGAUUGUACAGUCUAAAAUAGUUCUAAAUUUUUAUUCCCAAGGAGAAACAAAAAUUAUUAUAUGUAUAUAUGAAGUGCCAGUGUAGCCACUGCCUAAAAACUCUUUUAUCUACGGAGUUCUCACUGUGGCUCAGUGGGUUAAGGACCUGAUGUAGUCGCUGUAAGGAUAUGGGUUCGAUCCCUGGCUGGUAGUGGGCUAAGGAUCCAGCAUUACUGCAAGCUGCCAUGUAGGUCGCAGAUACUGCUCAGAUCUUGUAUUGCUGUGGCUGUGAACUUCCAUGUGCCUGCAGGUGCGGCCCUAAAAAGAAAAAGAAAAAAGAAAAGAAAAUCAUGGCUUCAAUUUCCCAAGUUUGAAAAAAAAAAUUAAGUAUCAAGGAAAUCCUUCAAGUCUUGUUGCCUUGGUUUAAAGAUCUCUAGGCAGGAGGCCCAAGAUGGCCAUAGCUGUAGAACACUCACGUGUGUGACUCUAUUCCAACUGUAAGAAUUAGGUCACUUGUUCAGUGUAUAUGAACAAAAAAAAGAAAAACUAGACUCAGCUUUUGAGACAGCACUGGCAAUGGCAAUGCACAACAGAAAAGCAUUCUGAAAUUAAGGGCACACGUCAUUAAAGAGAUCAGGUAAACAAGUGAUAGGCUGUAAAAAUCAAAGCCUCCCAAUAAAGCAAAUAUGAGCUCAGCAACAGAUCCAAAUAGUACCCGCCAGCCUGCUGCCAAAAGAUCCCACUAUCACCAGACCAUGCUUUAGGAGUGUCAUCAGGUUUGGAGUUGAUGCCAGAUGAUAUUUAUUCUGAUUGCUGUCAUCUUUUUUAAUUGAUAAAACGUUCUGAAGGGGUGUCCUCCAAGCCACAAGGAGACAGCAACUAUAUAACAAGACUUAAACUGCAUCAAGUGUGGC